AAGAGACCUGCUAUUUCAGUGAAACUAAAGAAUAAAAAUAAAUAAACCAGAAAGCCUCUGCAAAAACAAUUUGACAGUUGCUAUUGAUUGAAGUAAUGGAGCAAGCAGAGUUCUAAGAAGUUGCAUAAAAGCAUCUUUGGUCUGCUUUAAAAUCCCUCUAAAAGAUACAGUGAUAUUACUCAUACGCUGUUCACCUAUCUGUUUCUUCUCAUCUCUAGGUCUCAAAAGCUGAACUGCUCUAAAUUCACAUGCCAAAGCAGAACCUAUUCUUCCUGACUCUGUGCCCUGCACUCAGCUAUCAGUCUUGCCUGCAAUGCUGUAAAGCACAUAUUGCUGUGGAAGACCCUGGCUGAUGAGAAACACAUAGUUCUUGUUUACCUGCUUGAGCAUCAAGUGGCGUCAACUGGGAUGACUGGAGAAGCCCAUCUCUUUCCGUCGUCCUCUGAUACCAGACACUUCUGGAGGAACUGCCGUUGCCUUGCUGGGAGACCGAAGUGGUGAGAUGCAGACCCGUGGGUGCCUUGCCGGGUCUGCUGUUUUCUGGUUGGAGUAUUUUUCAUAGUCUGCAUUAUAAGAAAACCCACACAUGAAGAAAGGGAGAAAGAAGUAAAUGGAAAACAAACUACAGUCAUGGCCAUUAAUUCUUCUGGGGAAAAGACGCCCCGACUUCUUCAAGCGUCCAGACCUGCUGCAGAAUAUGCGAGAAUUUCAUAUUUACUCAAAAGAGAUCUCCAUGUGCAUGUUACGAAAUAUUUCAUACCAAACACAAGCACAAGAUAAAUGUAGUUGGACUGGAUCUUGACUUGCAUCAAGAAAUCAAAGCAGGCAUGAAGGGAAGAGAGUACGGCAAGGCAUACCUUGUUCCCAGGUGCGAAGCACUGAUUGCGGCCAGCGUGUCCACUGCCACGCUGUGACUGUUCUCGGGAGUGUGCUACAGCACUUCACAGCAGCAUGGGACCACCAAGGGGGACUGUGAAAGCCAAUGAAGCAAAUAAGGUGAACAGCACCAAACUUUCGGGGGGGAAGCAAUUUUGGUGCAAUGUUGACAACCCAUACUUGAGAGCCAUUCUUUGCAGCGAGGCAAUGUGGGCAGGCAGAGCAGUGUUCACAUAUGGAUUGUGUAGGUCCCGUUGGUAUGCCACAGCUGAAGCACAUACAAUGAAGAGAGAGAGACUCGCAACUCAGUCGUGGGGCUGAAAAGGUGCAUUCAGAUCCUGCCACAGCUUUGACUCGCAAUCUGACAGACUGCGUACAUUUCAAGUUGUGGAACUCAAGCUUUUCAUAGUUCAGCUUUACGAAUGCUAGACAGUGUUUUUGCCACAUUUCAUCUAUCAGAUUUCUCAGUUUUACCCACUUUGCAUCAGAGUAAAUUAAACCCCUAGUUUUGCUGUCUUUCCUUGUUUGUAAAUGGGUGAUAAAGAGGUCAGCUUCAGAGAGGCCUUAUGGAGAGGAGGGUGGCAAUAGCUGCGAAGCGCCCUAUCUGGUGAAGUCUCAAAUGAAAGACAGGAUGGCUGUGCCAUCCUAAAGCCAUUAUAAAGUCUUUGAAAAUUAAGAUAAUAACAAGGCAGGCCCAUAUCUUUUGCUAGCAUGUGAGAUUCAGAAUCGCUGCUGCUGAACAGCAUUUCCAUGCCAGGAACCUGCACCAGCUGCUACGGCCACAGAUCAGUCCUUCAGUUGAUACCAAAGCAUGGGUUGUGCUCCAGUUCUUGGACUCCUUCACCUCUGUAUCACCAGGAUUUCUUCAGCACAGUCAUUAACAGCUCACACAUACCUGCCACACCUUCCAGCACACGCCUCUGCAUUCCUCGCCCUGCUCCAAGACAUGCCUUCUUCAUGGACUUGUGCUCUCGGAGCUCACGUUUGCUGUCUGUCUUAUUCAUAUGGUCCUAUGAAGUGCUGCUAAGUUGUGGUCAUGAUAAUUUAGCCCACAGCGACCCUGUCCUUGCAAGAACAGAUCAAGGGUAGAUUAUCCUGUCGCCUAACCAGUACUUUUUGGAAGUAUUUUACAACUUACAUAAAGAAAAUAAGUGCUGGAAAUACCUGAUCUGUAGUGACAACCUCUGGACCUUACUACACACAUAACACAAGCUAACGUCUGUCACUUAGUGCAUUUUCGUCUGUUCUCUGAUCUGUGACUGGAAUCUGCAAGCUUUCUCCCAGCCUUUUCCAGCUUAUAAAGCUUUUCCUACCGUCUCUUACAUUUACCAAGACUCCAGUUCCCAAGUGCUGUUGAUAUUUCCAGCUCUCAGAGUUUCUGUGACAGAGACAGCUCUGUCUUCCAGCGGAUGCGGUACCUGGUAGCUCUGAUGGAACAAGCUGGGGGUCACAGCACCUCACCCUGGCGGGUACCUUGACUCUGGACCUUGGCACAGGCCAGCCGAAAAAUGAUCCCACCUUCCCCCCCUUCUCGCCGUUCUUCUUACGCGGCACAGCAAAUCAAAACCUCAGAUCAGCACAACUCCUAUUGUUGCUUGAUUUGCAGUCUAGAAAAAAACCAAAAAUCAAGCUCCUCAUUUCCAUACAGCAAGUGGGAACCAGCAGUGGUUGGCAACUUUCUAGCCUUGGCCAAGGGCAAAGGAAAUAGUUAAUCUAUCACUCCUUUGAAACACAAAUCUCUCUGCUUCUUAUGGGGCAAGGGAAAGAACUGAAUCCUUGACAAAUGUUAAAGCGCUCAGCUUAGGCUGACUUCAUUUCCGAUUUUUCUGUUCCAGUCUCAAAUUUUAUGCCUUGAUUUUUAGUUUAAUCCUUUAUUUUUAAGGAUUACCUGGUAUCGACUGCUUCUCAAAACUAUUCAUUCUGUCUAUUAAUUAGACUUAUUAGCUGUUUGCCUAACAUGUUAACUGAUUAUAAUUAAAACAGAAUUCUGUUCUGGAAAAAGAAUCUAAGGAGUGAUAUUUC